AGCAGCUACUGACUGAGCAAGGAAACACCAGUCGUUGCUCAUGGCCCUGUGAAACAAUCUCCUUUGGAAAAGGUAUAGUACCACUCGGUCUGCAAGUUAGUUGUUUGAGUGGAUUUUCUCACAUCCAAAUGCAAGAGUUGACUCACUCUCUCUGGAUCACAUACUCCUUACAAUCUGAAGGCCUGUCAUAUAACUCGUAGGCACGACAUAACUGGAUAAGCUCCGUAGUAGUUGAAUGACUGGAUUGAAACAUUACCUUGUAGAACAGCAGUCCCGACCUGUGUGUCAUGACCCUCUGGUGGGGCUCUCAAUCAGAUCUCCUGCAUAUCAGAUAUUUACAUUGUGAUUCAUAACAGUAGCAAAAUUACAGUAAUGAAGUAGCAACACGAAUAAUUUUAUGGUUGGGAGGUCACCACAGCAGAAGGAACUGUAUUUAAGUGUCACAGCAAUAGGAAGGUUGAGACCACUGCUGUAGAAGGAGGGGGGUGCCAAUUUUGUAGCUGUGUCAGUCAUGCUGAGGUGGGCUUUGUAGUGAGGAACUACCCUAGUCACUCAUGCUUCUAAAAGGAGUCCUCACUGAUGAGUUUGUAAGCAAUCCCAAUGAACUCAUCAGCUCAACACGGUGGGCUUGGGUGGAAUCAAUUCUGAAGUCUGUCACUAUUGUUAUUGUCUGAGGUGCUAGAAAUAACCUCAUGAAAAGUGACACAAGAGGAAAAGGAGAAGGGUGGUUUAGUACUUAAGACUGUCACUCGUGCAAGGAUUAGAGUUCAAUUCCCUGCAGCCCACAUUUCCCUCUAACUCUUAGCUCCAGGGAAUUGGACAUCUGACUCUAGUCUCUGUGGGGACAUGUAUAUACAUACACAU
rnacentral:lncRNA from 1 species